rnacentral:rRNA from 1 species
AGUGAACGCUGGCGGUAGGCCUAACACAUGCAAGUCGAACGGCAGCACAGUAAGAGCUUGCUCUUACGGGUGGCGAGUGGCGGACGGGUGAGGAAUACAUCGGAAUCUACUUUUUCGUGGGGGAUAACGUAGGGAAACUUACGCUAAUACCGCAUACGACCUACGGGUGAAAGCAGGGGAUCUUCGGACCUUGCGCGAUUGAAUGAGCCGAUGUCGGAUUAGCUAGUUGGCGGGGUAAAGGCCCACCAAGGCGACGAUCCGUAGCUGGUCUGAGAGGAUGAUCAGCCACACUGGAACUGAGACACGGUCCAGACUCCUACGGGAGGCAGCAGUGGGGAAUAUUGGACAAUGGGCGCAAGCCUGAUCCAGCCAUACCGCGUGGGCGAAGAAGGCCUUCGGGUUGUAAAGCCCUUUCGUUGGGAAAGAAAAGCAGCAGGUUAAUACCCCGCUGUUCUGACGGUACCCAAAGAAUAAGCACCGGCUAACUUCGUG